CAGCAUAUGUGAAAGAUACUUUUUGGGCAGGAAUGUCUUCAACACAAAGGAGUGAGAGUGUGAAUGCUUUGUUUGAUGGUUAUGUCCAUGCUAGAACAACUCUGAAGCAAUUUGUGGAGCAGUAUGGAAAUGCAUUACGAGACAAAGUAGAGAAAGAAAACAAGGCUGAUUCUAAGUCAUUCCAAGAGGUAAUUCGAUGUAUUACUGACUAUGACCUUGAGGGGCAAUUUCAGGCCGCCUAUACAAAUGCGAAGUUUAAAGAGUUUCAAGAUCAAUUGAGAGGUAAAAUAUAUUGCUAUCCAACUUUGAUGGACAAAGACGGGUCACCUUUGAUGUUUAGAGUCAGAGAGGACCGCAAGAUUUUUUUAUGAAGGAGAGGAUGGAUAUAUCAAAGAGAAAUGGGUUAUUUCAGAGUUCACUCUCUUGCUCGACCAAGGGGAAUGUGAUGUGAAGUGUGUUUGUAGAUUAUUUGAAUUUCAGGGCAUCUUGUGUAGCCACAUCCUUUCUGUGCUUGCUCUCAUGGGGAUAACAAAAGUACCUCCUAGGUAUAUAUUGCAGCGAUGGACAAAGGAUUUUAAGCACAGACACACCUUUAUAAAAUGCUCCUACGAUGAUACGCUGAAUACACCAAUUAUGCAACGUUAUGAUAAUUUGUGCAAGCGUUCCCGUGAAGUGGCAGAAAAUGGUGCUGAGUCUGAUGCAUUACAUGACUUGGUCAUGGAUGGCCUUAAUGAGUUAUAAAUAAAGAUUGAUACUUAUCGCACUACCCAUAUAAUUUAGGAGGUGGAUCCUACUUCAAAACAUGGAGAUACAACGUUCAACAAAGAAAAAGUUGUACAUAGCCCAGUCCCUGUUCGCAGUGUAGGUCGCCCUCCCUCAAAGAGAAAGGAAUCUAAAGUAGAUCAAGUAGUCAAAAGAUUGAGAGCGAAGAAGAAGCAGGUACCAAAAGAUACAAAUGGAGCGUCAAGUCAAAAAGGAAGAAAGAAAAGCAACAUAAAAUCAAAAAAUGUGCAAGAAAGUAAUCCUAUGCCUUCACAACAAACCGAGGGAAAUGCAUAUUGUGAAGGACGUGAUGUGGGAAGUGUUUGUUUCUUUCCAAAUAAGUUUCAG